CCCUAGUAACGGCGAGUGAAGCGGCAACAGCUCAAAUUUGAAAUCUGGCCUAGGCCCGAGUUGUAAUUUGCAGAGGAUGAUUUUGGCGCGGUGCCUUCCGAGUUCCCUGGAACGGGACGCCACAGAGGGUGAGAGCCCYGUAUGGUCGGACACCAAGCCUAUGUAAAUCUCCUUCGACGAGUCGAGUAGUUUGGGAAUGCUGCUCAAAAUGGGAGGUAAAUCUCUUCUAAAGCUAAAUAUUGGCCAGAGACCGAUAGCGCACAAGUAGAGUGAUCGAAAGAUGAAAAGCACCUUGAAAAGGGGGUUAAACAGUACGUGAAAUUGUUGAAAGGGAAGGGCUCGUGACCAGACUUGUGCCAGGCGGCUCAUCCGGCGUUCUCGCCGGUGCACUCUGCCUGGCUCAGGCCAGCAUCGGUUCUUGCCGGGGGAUAAGAGCUUCAGGAACGUGGCUCCUUCGGGAGUGUUAUAGCCUGUCGCACGAUGCCCUGGCGGGGACCGAGGUUCGCGCUCCGCAAGGAUGCUGGCGUAAUGGUCACCAACCACCCGUCUUGAAACACGGACCAAGGAGUCGUCCAUCAAGCGAGCGUUUGGGUGUAAAACCCGCACGCGUAAUGAAAGUGAACGCAGGUGAGAGCUUCGGCGCAUCAUCGACCGAUCCUGAUGUAUUCGGAUGGAUUUGAGUAAGAGUUUUGCUGGACGGACCCGAAAGACAGUGAACUAUGCUUGUAUAGGGUGAAGCCAGAGGAAACUCUGGUGGAGGCUCGCAGCGGUUCUGACGUGCAAAUCGAUCGUCAAAUAUGAGCAUGGGGCGAAAGACUAA
rnacentral:rRNA from 1 species